UACGAAGGGGGCUAGCGUUGCUCGGAAUCACUGGGCGUAAAGCGCACGUAGGCGGCUUUCUAAGUCAGGGGUGAAAUCCUGGAGCUCAACUCCAGAACUGCCUUUGAUACUGGAGAGCUUGAGUCCGGGAGAGGUGAGUGGAACUCCGAGUGUAGAGGUGAAAUUCGUAGAUAUUCGGAAGAACACCAGUGGCGAAGGCGACACACUGGGCCAUUACUGACGCUGAGGCGCGAAAGCGUGGGGAGCAAACAGG
rnacentral:rRNA from 1 species